UGAAAGAAAUAUCGAAAAUUC
rnacentral:piRNA from 1 species